rnacentral:lncRNA from 1 species
CCUUUUUACUGGCAUUCUCUUUGUUUCUAUUGGCUCGUUCCUCGCCCUCUUCUGAUGUUUUGUACUGCACAAAGUCAUCCCAGAAGGCCCUCAGCUUUACAUAUUGCUUGAGGUUGAAAUCUGGAGUCUCGUUUUUCUUGACAUAUUUAUUGUACAAAGACUUCUUCCAAUUCUGGAAGAGUACUGCCAUCUUCUUCAUAGUCCAGUCAUAAAUUCGCACCUUCAACUCUUCAUCGUUGGUGUCGAAGGUGAAAACGUCUGUGACGGCUUUCCAAACUAACUCCUUGUCACGAUCAGAGACAAAACUGAUCUCAGGAGCACCUCGCUUCUCUCUCCAUUCACGACAACUGAUCGGUAUUUGAUCUCUCACAAGAUAUCCACAGUGAUUAACAUAUUUAUUUGCAUGCUCACCAAGUGGUCUACCUGUAGCUAUCUCAAACUCAGAGAUUACAUAGCGGCCCUCCAACGGCUUCUUUGGCCCUCGUGGAGGUACGCUUCUCCCCGUAGAGGUCGAUCCAGAAGGCUACACGUACAUAUAGAAACAAAAAUACUAAAUUAAUAACCAAGUAAUAAGUCUAAAACCUAAUGUAAGAGAUGCAUUAUUUAUAUAUGUUUACAUUUACAUACCUCGCC